rnacentral:lncRNA from 1 species
CGUCAGAGGGAGGAGCUUCACCGUUUGACUGAACACUAGUAGAAAAGUGCUCAGGUUUGUGUUGGUACGCCUCAACAUGUCCACUGAUCCUGAGGCCGGACCACAACCCCAUCCAGAUGUGAGACGGAGCCCAGAAAUCCAAGAGGAAAGUGAAGAUCCAGGUGAAGUGUGUGAGAGAGCACAACUGAAGGGAGGGCGUGUUGUGAUUGGUCGUCCAGUCGUCAGGAGAAGCCGGUGCUGCAGCGUUCCUGCACUGAUUCAACAUCUGCUGAUGGUUCUGUUGGGUCUGGUUCUGGGUGGACUCUCCGCACAAUAUAUUUUUGUCACUGUGGAAAGAGAAAACCUGCUGCUGAAAAAACAGCAGUUCCAGAACAUCAUGAAUGAAGCGAUCCACACCAUGACUGAAGUGAAAAACAUUAUAAAUAAAGUGAUCAACACCACGACUGAAGUGAAAAAAUCCAUAAAUAAAGUGAUCAACAUCCUAAAAGAAGUGAACAACAACAUAAAUGAACCGAACAACAUCACAGAUGAAGUGGAAAAUAUCAUAAAUGAACUGAACACCAUUACUGAGCUAAGUACGAAGUAUAAUCAACUCAACAUCACUAUGAAGGAGAGGGACGAAACUAUUGAGAGUCUGAGACAGCCAUUGAGAGCAGCUUGUAAAUGCCCAAUGUAGAAAGAAAAAUGUAGACAAACUGAACCUAAAAGUAUCAUCAUGUUGUUUUAGUGUUAAAUCAAGGUUGUCUGGUUCGUCUUAUCAUGUGAUUUUUAACAUAUUCUGGAUGGGUGGGUAGGUAGGUAGGUAGGUAGGUAGGUAGGUAGGUAGGUAGAUAGAUAGAUAGAUAGAUAGAUAGAUAGAUAGAUAGAUAGAUAGAUAGAUAGAUAGAUAGAUAGAUAGAUAGAUAGAUAGAUAGACAGACAGACAGACAGACAGACAGACAGACAGACAGACAGACAGACAGACAGACAGACAGACAGACAGACAGACAGACAGACAGACAGACAGACAGACAGACAGUUAUCAGCGUCACCAUGCAGCCAUUUGGAAAAACAGUGACUGGAAGAAUCUGCAGAAAUAGUUCAAUACUUUGUCUUUUUCUUGUGUAUUUUUGUGUAUUUUUACUUGUACUCAUACGACUGUUGGGGCUGUUUUUACAUUUUCUCUGUAUUUUUGUUUUUAACCAACAGUGUUUUCUUUUUAUUUGUCUGUGUUCAUGAUUUCUUUGUGGGAUUCUGUUUUUUUUUUGCCUGAUGCACGUCCAUCCUCGUAAAUCAAACAAUUCAACUUCUUUCCAGUUCUCCUUCAACAGAACGUUCUUUUUUUGCUCUUUGUCCUCAGUCAUUGUAGAGCAGACAGAGGUUUAGAAAAAUAACAAAGAUUAUGUGAAGAAUUAACAAAUGAGGAGAAUCACAACAGACAAAAACAGCAGAAAAUGGUUCACGGCCUGGAUGCAGAGGCUGUGCCGUCCUGUCGAGCCAGAACACCGGACGCCGGAGCCACGCCCGAGGAUAGGCGCACAGUUCGGGCUCUGCGUCCGGCCCCAGACGGCCCUCGAGCUCGAACCACGACCUAAGAACCACAAUACGUCCCCAACUGUGGAUAACCUGUACCGCUGCAUCCCUGUUGUUCACCGCUCUUAAUAGUUCCAGGUAAUAUCCAGGGUCCAACAGGUGAGCGUAGGUCUGCUACCAUACUGCUACUCUGUCUCUGGGCACUGAGUUCCUUAUAGAUUUCUCUCUUAUUUGCGAGAAUUCAAGCCUAAAACACUGAUAAAAGUAACAAACAUCUCCCAUCUGUCUCUCAUCGAUAACAAAGGGCCAACUUGUGUGGAAAGUUUGACGACAGAUUUACACACAUAUACAAAUAUACAGACAUUUAGAGGACAUCUACAGAUACAACUAUCAAUCAACUCUAGAAACCACAAACAUACACAUGGGUUCUUCUGUGAAACUGGGUUUAUUUUAGUACCUGUCACUUUUCCAUCUGUUUAGACCCAAUAAUAAAAGGUACAUGUAGACAUACCCCCCCCCCCCCCCCAGGAUGAACCUAAUGAUGACCUCAGAGAAAUGUAAAUAAAAUUAUCCUCUUGCUCUGAUCCAUCCCAUAAUUAAUGAAUUUAUAAUCAAAUAUUGGGUCCAAAAAAAGGACCCAAAUAUGGACAUUAAAUCUCCCUAGGUGUCAGUGCAUUAGAUGUGUAAACAUGUGUAAAUGCUCUUCUAUAGACUCUAAAUACAGACGCUGUGUUCAAUAUGUGGAUCCUGGUGGUUUUUCUAAUCCACACAUGUGGGUUUGGCAUCAGUCUCAGUCGCAUUCCAGGUUUGGUGUGGAACCCAUCGUGUCCACUGGUGUUACAUACAGAACCUGAACAUUUAAACACUAAUAAAUCGUCAAUGGUUUGACAAAAGUGGUCAUUUUUGUCAAACACUCUGCCUUGAAUAUUUACUACGAUUCCCAAAAUGCACCUGUGAGAGAAUAAAAGAUAUUCGAAAAAAUAGUAGUGUGUAAAUUUUGUGUCCUUUUGACCGUUACAUGCAGAUUUAUGUAGAAAAUUUAUGUAAAAAUAAUAUAAAAUGUGUUUUAUCUGAAAAAUAGUUUCCCAAACCUGCCUCAGAACAUUCGUCUGCAUCUGGUUUGAAUUUUUAGCCUCUGUCCUGUUUUUAGGACCAGUUUCAGAGAAGAACCCAGAUAAAAAAAGAGGAAGAAAGGAGAAAAACAACAGCCAAACUCGUCCAAACCCACUAGUAGGACACUCCAAAACAGCACUAUCACUAUUAUAUCCAAUAGUAUAUAAUAGUAAAUAAUUGUAAAUAAUUGUAUAUAUGAGAAUUCAAGCCUAAAACGCUGAUAAAAGUCAUAAACAUCUUCCAUCUGUCCUUCAUCGAUAACGGAGGCCGACUUGUGUGGAAAGUUUGACUAAAUCUAAAACCACAGAUCCUAUCAGAGUCCUGCGCCUUCACAUGUCACACAAACACCAUCUGAUCUGGUUUCUUCUGCCACGUCUUCGAUGUUCUGAUAAAAGUCUGAAGUAAAAAGAGGGUGAGGCUGGUUUAACGCUGCAGACGUCCACAGAUACCGGACCGACGGUGAGUAUUCAACUCCACAUCAUCAUUCUAUUAUCAGUCAAACACAGUAUGUCGACUCACUGAUGCUGUUUUCAUGUUCCUGUAACGUUUCAGAAACUGUUUUACCAGAACUUACGAUGUUUUACCAAACACUAAAACUGAACGUAUUUUAUAGCAGCACGACACUGUUUGAAAAUGGUGAAUGUGUCGUCAAAUUUUCCAUCGUCCUUCUUAAAAAAUGCGAAGUAUCUCGUGCGUCUCCUCUUCAGUCGUCGUCUCCUUCCCUUCACUGUUUAUUAACAAACUGACUUCAGAUACUGAUGGUGCGUUCAAGGCACCUGGGAAACACGGGCGCAGAGGAGAUCGACUGUGUAAUAAGCAAUGUGACCGUGGGUUUUACCGACGCAGACAAGCUAAUAAAGAUACUUUUACUGUUGUUUUUGUCAGUUUAAAGUACGUCUGCGGGUCAAACUCUCACUGCAGUUUAUAUUAGUUUGAGUCACCUUCACAGCUUUUUAGUUUUCUUUUUUUUAGUUUUUUAGUUUUUACUUGUUUGCUCGCUUGUCUGUUUGGUUUGAUGAUGCCUAUGUCAUCAUUAUGUGUAUUUUGAAAUUUUUAAUUUAGAGCAAACGAGUGCUGUAUUAAUGUGUGUUUUAUGUCUCGUUUCUGUCACCUGCCUCUGACCGCAGAAGAAAAUGAAUUAUUUUUACUAAUUCGGGCACAUUUACAUGGGUGUAGUGUUCAUAAAUAUGCAUGGUCCCUAUUAAAUAAACCACUAAAUACAAAUAAAUACAAACUCUGGGCUUUUUACUCGUUUUUUAGACCAAAUAAUACAGGACUAUUUUUGUCUAGUUUCAGUCGAAGAAAACUGAUGACUUUUUAGUUUUGUUUCAGUCGAUGAAAACAGUAUUUUAGUCUUUCAAUUAUUGCUGAACUCCAAGAAAUGUGAGAGUUAUAAAGAGUUGUUUGUAGACUUUCCAAAAAACUCCAAUCAGUCUCCCCACUCUGAGAGCUAGUGCGUAGAGCAGGGCUGUCAAACAUGAGUCCCAGGGCCCAAUGUGUCCCCCCAAAGGUUCCAAUCCGAC